rnacentral:tRNA from 1 species
GCAGUGCGUGGCCAAAUGGUCACGCUGUCCGCUUUGUAAGCGGAUGAUUCUGGGUUCGAUUCCCAUCUGCUGCU